AGUGAACGCUGGCGGUAGGCCUAACACAUGCAAGUCGAACGGCAGCACAGUAAGAGCUUGCUCUUACGGGUUGCGAGUGGCGGACGGGUGAGGAAUACAUCGGAAUCUACUUUUUCGUGGGGGAUAACGUAGGGAAACUUACGCUCAUACCGCAUACGACCUACGGUUGAAAGCAUGGGAUCUUCGGACCUUGCGCGAUUGAAUGAGCCGAUGUCGGAUUAGCUAGUUGGCGGGGUAAAGGCCCACCAAGGCGACGAUCCGUAGCUGGUCUGAGAGGAUGAUAAGCGACACUGGAACUGAGACACGGUCCAGACUCCUAAGGGAGGCAGCAGUGGGGAAUAUUGGACAAUGGGCGCAAGCAUGAUCCAGCCAUACCGCGUGGGUGAAGAAGGCCUUCGGGUUGUAAAGCCCUUUUGUUGGGAAAGAAAAGCAGCAGGUUAAUACCACGCUGUUCUGACGGUACCCAAAGAAUAAGCACCGGCUAACUUCGUG
rnacentral:rRNA from 1 species